rnacentral:rRNA from 1 species
GGACUACCGGGGUAUCUAAUCCUGUUUGCUCCCCUUGCUCUCGCGCCUCAGCGUCAGGUAAAAGCUAGAAAACCGCUUUCGCCACCGGUGUUCUUCCACAUAUCUACGCAUUUCACCGCUACACGUGGAAUUCCAUUUUCUCCGCCUUCCCUCCAGACAUGAAGUUUCACUUGCGGCUCCGAAGUUGAGCUUCGGAAUUUCACAGUUGACUUUCAUACCCGCCUACGCGCCCUUUACGCCCAAUCAAUCCGAUUAAUGCUUGCACCCUCCGUAUUACCGCGGCUGCUGGCAC